AUGAUAAAGACGAAGGUGAGAGGAGGAGAGAAAGUUUCUGUGAUGGAGAUUCCUCUGCAGAAUGGUGAAGCCCCCUCUGAUAAAUCUGGAUGGCUUUGGUUCCGGAUUUUGAAGCGGAUAUUUUCUCCUGCUGUGAAUAGACAUUGGCGUGUAGGAUGUCAUGUCAUGAUGAAGGUAAUAUUGCAGGCCUGGUGCAUAAUUAAUGGUUGA